rnacentral:hammerhead_ribozyme from 1 species
ACCCGACUGGCGAGUCCCAAAUGGGACGAAACACGCGUCCUGGAU